rnacentral:rRNA from 1 species
UACGGAAGGUAGCAGUGGGGAAUAUUGCACAAUGGGCGAAAGCCUGAUGCAGCUAUGCUGCGUGUAUGAAGAAGGCCUUAGGGUUGUAAAGUACUUUCAUCGGGGAGGAAAAACAAAACUAAUAAUUUUAUUUCUUGACGUUACCCGAAAAAGAAGCACCGGCUAACUCCGUGCCAGCAGCCGCGGUAAUACGGAGGGUGCUAGCGUUAAUCAGAAUUACUGGGCGUAAAGAGCACGUAGGUGGUUUUUUUAAGUCAGAUGUGAAAUCCCUGGGCUUAACCUAGGAACUGCAUUUUGAAACUGAAAUACUAGAGUAUCGUAGAGGGAGGUAGAAUUCUAGGUGUAGCGGUGAAAUGCGUAGAUAUCUGGAGGAAUACCUGUGGCGAAAGCGGCCUCCUAAACGAAUACUGACACUGAGGUGCGAAAGCGUGGGGAGCAAACGAGGAUUAGAUACC